rnacentral:rRNA from 1 species
AACCUGCGGAAGGAUCAUUACCGAAACGAAAAGCGUCAAGCGAUACUUUGUGAACCGUACCGGACGCACCUUUUGGGGGUCGGUCCUUGCGACCGUUAAAUGGCAGGCGGAGGAUGGCUCGAGCGAGGCGAGGGAUUUGCGCCCCCUCGUUUUGCGGCGCCUUCUCUGCCGCCUGCCGGCCCCUUUACGCGUUACCGCAAACCACGUUUUUGUUGUCGUUUUGCUGAGCUCGUGCCUUUGUGAAAGAAAAGAAGGAAAGAAAGAAAAAAGAGANGACAACUUUUGACGGUGGAUCUCUUGGCUCGCGCAUCGAUGAAGAACGCAGCCAGCUGCGAUAGGUAGUGUGAAUUGCAGAAUUCAGUGAAUCAUCGAAUCUUUGAACGCAAAUGGCGCUCUUGGGUUCUCCCAGGAGCAUGUCUGUCUGAGUGUCGGAUUGUACNCCAUCGCGGCUGGACCGUUUACGUCAGCCGCGGCGUUGAGGCGACUCGACGCGUUCCCGGUUAGGUCGUGUCCCUCGAAACAGAGCGUAGCCCCGUUGCCGCAGCGGUCGCGUCCGACUCCGUCCGCCAAAAGGGGAGGCUUAAGACCACCUUUCCCUGGACGGAGAAGGGCCAAAGGCAGUGAGAACGAAACCUAACUUGACCUCAGAUCAGGCAAGG